rnacentral:lncRNA from 1 species
AACAAGGAGAUAUAUAUUAUGUGUGCACGUACAUAGCAGUGUGUGUGCAGAAGUACAUAAGGACAUAUACAAUUAUAUACUUGCAUAGCAUCAAGAGCAAUCAGCCUUACAUGUCGUCACAGAUUGACUGCUCCUGAUGGUAUGUGUUUUUGAUAUAUAAUCGAUCAUACAGCUAAUUAAGCCCUAUAUACAACAUAUGAAGAUACAUCAAAUCGAUUUAACAUCACACAGGAGACCAAAUAAAAAUCCAAAUUAAUGCAUGCAUGCAUGCAUGCAUGCAUGCAUGCAUGCAUGCUUGCAGCCAAAACUUCACCAUGUGGUCUCUGCAUGAACAAUGAAGACGGUGAACCGUGAACAGCGAAGCG